AACGAACGCUGGCGGCAUGCCUAGCACAUGCAAGUCGAACGAGACCUUCGGGUCUAGUGGCGCACGGGUGCGUAACGCGUGGGAACCUGCCCUUAGGUUCGGAAUAACUCCCCGAAAGGGGUGCUAAUACCGGCUAAUGUCUUCGGACCAAAGAUUUAUCGCCUUUGGAUGGGCCCGCGUUGGAUUAGCUAGUUGGUAGGGUAAAAGCCUACCAAGGCGACGAUCCAUAGCUGGUCUGAGAGGAUGAUCAGCCACACUGGGACUGAGACACGGCCCAGACUCCUACGGGAGGCAGCAGUGGGGAAUAUUGGACAAUGGGCGAAAGCCUGAUCCAGCAAUGCCGCGUGAGUGAUGAAGGCCUUAGGGUUGUAAAGCUCUUUUACCCGGGAUGAUAAUGACAGUACCGGGAGAAUAAGCUCCGGCUAACUCCGUG
rnacentral:rRNA from 1 species